GGAAUGUGGUGGAAUUGGUAGACACGACGGACUUAAAAUCCGUUACCUAUAAAUCGGUGUGAGGGUUCAAGUCCCUCUGUUCC
rnacentral:ncRNA from 12 species